rnacentral:lncRNA from 1 species
UGGUCCUGACCUGACCUGUAUGUACCUGGUCCUGACCUGUAUGUACCUGGUCCUGACCUGUACGUACCUGGUCCUGACCUGUUUGUACCUGGUCCUGACCUGUAUGUACCUGGUCCUAACCUGACCUGUAUGUACCUGGUCCUAACCUGUAUGUACCUGGUCCUGACCUGUAUGUACCUGGUCCUGACCUGUAUGUACCUGGUCCUGACCUGUUUGUACCUGGUCCUGACCUGUAUGUACCUGGUCCUGACCUGUUUGUACCUGGUCCUGACCUGUUUGUACCUGGUCCUGACCUGUAUGUACCUGGUCCUGACCUGUAUGUACCUGGUCCUAACCUGACCUGUAUGUACCUGGUACUGACCUGUAUGUACCUGGUCCUGACCUGUAUGUACCUGGUCCUGACCUGUUUGUACCUGGUCCUGACCUGUAUGUACCUGGUCCUGACCUGUAUGUACCUGGUCCUGACCUGACCUGUAUGUACCUGGUCCUGACCUGUUUGUACCUGGUCCUGACCUGACCUGUUUGUACCUGGUCCUGACCUGUUUGUACCUGGUCCUGACCUGUAUGUACCUGGUCCUCACCUGUUUGUACCUGGUCCUGACCUGACCUGUAUGUACCUGGUCCUGACCUGUAUGUACCUGGUCCUGACCUGUAUGUACCUGGUCCUGACCUGUAUGUACCUGGUCCUAACCUGACCUGUAUGUACCUGGUCCUGACCUGUAUGUACCUGGUCCUGAUCUGUAUGUACCUGGUCCUGACCUGUAUGUACCUGGUCCUGACCUGUAUGUACCUGGUCCUAACCUGACCUGUAUGUACCUGGUCCUGACCUGUAUGUACCUGGUCCUAACCUGUUUGUACCUGGUCCUGACCUGUAUGUACCUGGUCCUAACCUGACCUGUAUGUACCUGGUCCUGACCUGUUUGUACCUGGUCCUGACCUGUAUGUACCUGGUCCUGACCUGUAUGUACCUGGUCCUGACCUGUAUGUACCUGGUCCUGACCUGACCUGUAUGUACCUGGUUCUGACCUGUACGUACCUGGUCCUGACCUGACCUGUAUGUACCUGGUCCUGACCUGUAUGUACCUGGUCCUAACCUGGCCUGUAUGUACCUGGUCCCGACCAGGUGGUUUAGUUUAAUGACCAGGUGGUUUAGUUUAAUGACCAGGUGGUGGCUAGUUUAACGACCAGGUGGUGGCUAGUUUAAUGACCAGGUGGUUUAGUUUAAUGACCAGGUGGUGGCUAGUUUAAUGACCAGGUGGUGGCUAGUUUAAUGACCAGGUGGUGGCUAGUUUAAUGACCAGGUGGUUUAGUUUAAUGACCAGGUGGUGGCUAGUUUAAUGACCAGGUGGUGGCUAGUUUAAUGACCAGGUAGUGGCUAGUAUAACAACAGGUGAGUUACCCUUAUGACCCUCUACGAUAGACAUUCAGUUGUUCAGCUAGGGAGGAAUGCGUCACAAAUGGUACCCUAUAUAGUGCAGUACUUUUGACAAGGGCCCAUAGGUAGUGCACUAUGUAGGGAAUAGGGUGCCAUUUGGGAAUCCCUCAAGAGAUGUCCACAGGACACAGUGGAGUCAGUGCAGAACCAGUUCCUGAUUAUCGUGUGUAUAAUGUGUGUAUAAACAUGUAUAAACUGCUUAAUAAACAUGUAUAAACUGCUUAAUAAACAUGUAUAAACUGCUUAAUAAACAUGUAUAAACUGCUUACUAAACAUGUGUAAACUGCUUAAUAAACAUGUAUAAACUGCUUAAUAAACAUGUAUAAACUGCUUAAUAAACAUGUGUAAACAGCUUACUAAACAUGUAUAAACUGCUUAAUAAACAUGUAUAAACUGCUUAAUAAACAUGUAUAAACAGCUUACUAAACAUGUAUAAACUGCUUACUAAACAUGUAUAAACUGCUUACUAAACAUGUAUAAACUGCUUAAUAAACAUGUGUAAACUGCUUAAUAAACAUGUAUAAACUUAUAAUAACAGUCAUGGUUGAGUAGUUGACUUUAAAGGACCCAGAGAGUUACAUAGACAGAGGACCUUCAGUAUGCUGGACAACACUGGAAACAUGUUGGGCUCAAUAUACAUCAUCAUGGUAUAUUAUCUUAUAUAGUAAGUUAUCUUAUGUUAUACGCUUUGUAACAGAGCACCAUUACGUUUUAGUACUUUUUUCAAAGCUGGCUGGUUUGUUUACAAGUUCAUAUCAAGAGUGCUGGAGAUUCAGCCCGACUUUAAAAUAACACAGAAUCUAAGUGCUACAUUUCCUGAAAGCCCCGUAAAUGUAAACAUGUAUACAGAUGAACAUAAUAAACUGUCCAUAGCUGGUAAUAUUACAAGAGGCAAUAGUAUCAAAACAUUCCACCAAAAAGACUUGAAAGAGUAUUAAACAGUUUUAAAUAAUUCAUAUUAAAUAGUUAUCCUUCAGCAUCUUUUAGUGAUGUCGUUUUUUUUUUGAUCAAUUUAUAAUUCCUUGAAAGAAUCCUAGAUAUUUUUUUUUUAGAUCCGACAAAAUAUUUAAUUCAUGGUUUCCUCUAUUACAGUGGUCGCCAACCUUUUUUCAGAGUCAAAAUGCAAGCUGAGAUCAACCGUAAGCCUAUGCAACAUUAACCAAUUUAAAAACAGUUCUGGAUCAAUGAACCUCAUUCAUGAACCUCAUUGAUCCAGAACUGUUUUUUAAUUGGUUAAUGUACAGUAGUAAGCUAUAGGCUCAAUACAUUAUCACUGUAUACUGGCUAUGCUUGACUUGCCCUGCCAAUGUUAUUCUUCUGGGACCAUUUUGACAUUUUAUAUAUAAAAUGUUGGUAUAUGAUCAAACUGGUAAUAGAUCAUUUGUUGUAUCACUUGUGAGGUUACAGCUGACUGAGCAUAAUCAUAUAAUUUUUUUUUUUUAUUGGACUGAUGACCUGCAUCUGAUGGUUAGUCUGAGAGGAGGGAGGGAGA